CCUACGGGAGGCAGCAGUGGGGAAUAUUGGACAAUGGGCGCAAGCCUGAUCCAGCCAUGCCGCGUGAGUGAUGAGAGGCCCUAGGGUUGUAAAGCUCUUUUGUGCGGGAAGAUAAUGACGGUACCGCAAGAUAAGCCCCGGCUAACUUCGUGCCAGCAGCCGCGGUAAUACGAAGGGGGCUAGCGUUGCUCGGAAUCACUGGGCGUAAAGGGUGCGUAGGCGGGUCUUUAAGUCAGAGGUGAAAUCCUGGAGCUCAACUCCAGAACUGCCUUUGAUACUGAGGAUCUUGAGUUCGGCAGAGGUGAGUGAACUGCGAGUGUAGAGGUGAAAUUCGUAGAUAUUCGCAAGAACACCAGUGGCGAAGGCGGCUCACUGGCCCGAUACUGACGCUGAGGCACGAAAGCGUGGGGAGCAAACAGGAUUAGAUACCCUGGUAGUCCCCGCCGUAAACGAUGAAUGCCAGCCGUUGGUGGGUUUACUCUACCAGUGGCGCAGCUAACGCUUUAAGCAUUCCGCCUGGGGAGUACGGUCGCAAGAUUAAAACUCAAAGGAAUUGACGG
rnacentral:rRNA from 1 species